rnacentral:rRNA from 1 species
GAUGAACGCUGGCGGCGUGCCUAAUACAUGCAAGUCGAGCGAACAGACGAGGAGCUUGCUCCUCUGACGUUAGCGGCGGACGGGUGAGUAACACGUGGAUAACCUACCUAUAAGACUGGGAUAACUUCGGGAAACCGGAGCUAAUACCGGAUAAUAUAUUGAACCGCAUGGUUCAAUAGUGAACGACGGUUUUGCUGUCACUUAUAGAUGGAUCCGCGCCGCAUUAGCUAGUUGGUAAGGUAACGGCUUACCAAGGCGACGAUUCGUAGCCGACCUGAGAGGGUGAUCGGCCACACUGGAACUGAGACACGGUCCAGACUCCUACGGGAGGCAGCAGUAGGGAAUCUUCCGCAAUGGGCGAAAGCCUGACGGAGCAACGCCGCGUGAGUGAUGAAGGUCUUCGGAUCGUAAAACUCUGUUAUUAGGGAAGAACAAAUGUGUAAGUAACCAUGCACGUCUUGACGGUACCUAAGCAGAAAGCCACGGCUAACUACGUG